rnacentral:rRNA from 1 species
UACGUAGGAUGCAAGCGUUGUCCGGAAUUAUUGGGCGUAAAGCGAACGUAGGCGGUUACUUAAGUCAGAUGUGAAAGCCCCGGGCUCAACCUGGGAAUGGCAUUUGAAACUGGCGGGCUGGAGUGUGGCAGAGGGGGGUGGAAUUCCACGUGUAGCAGUGAAAUGCGUAGAGAUGCGGAGGAACACCGAUGGCGAAGGCAGCCCCCUGGGCCAACACUGACGCUCAGGCACGAAAGCGUGGGGAGCAAACAGG